rnacentral:rRNA from 1 species
GAGAAUUUUUCACAAUGGGCGCAAGCCUGAUGGAGCGACGCCGCGUGGGGGAUGAAUGGCUUCGGCUCGUAAACCCCUGUCAUUUGCGAGCAAUGGUGUUCCGUUAACAGCGGGAAACUUGAUAGUAGCGAAAGAGGAAGGGACGGCUAACUCUGUGCCAGCAGCCGCGGUAAUACAGAGGAUGCGAGCGUUAUCCGGAUUUAUUGGGUUUAAAGGGUGCGUAGGCGGCACGCCAAGUCAGCGGUGAAAUUUCCGGGCUCAACCCGGACUGUGCCGUUGAAACUGGCGAGCUAGAGUGCACAAGAGGCAGGCGGAAUGCGUGGUGUAGCGGUGAAAUGCAUAGAUAUCACGCAGAACCCCGAUUGCGAAGGCAGCCUGCUAGGGUGCGACAGACGCUGAGGCACGAAAGCUAGGGUAGCAAACG